rnacentral:lncRNA from 1 species
AUGGCGUUUAACAGCAGCAGGAAGGCUCUCUAUCUUCAUAUCCAACCUAAUGGAGUUUCCCACAGUUUGAGCCCGGCUGCCAGCAACGGAAGAGAAGGAGAGAACCCCACGAACCUCAGGAGCCAGCCCCCUUCAGAAAGGCUCCAAGACCAGAGCCACGAAGGGCAAACCCUACCCUAAUGCUUCAUCAGGAAAUGUUCAAACAUCCAAAAAGAUGCAGGGCUUGAACAA